GAUGAACGCUGGCGGCGUGCCUAAUACAUGCAAGUCGGGCGAACGGACGAGAAGCUUGCUUCUCUGAUGUUAGCGGCGGACGGGUGAGUAACACGUGGAUAACCUACCUAUAAGACUGGGAUAACUUCGGGAAACCGGAGCUAAUACCGGAUGAUAUUUUGAACCGCAUGGUUCAAAAGUGAAAGACGGUCUUGCUGUCACUUAUAGAUGGAUCCGCGCUGCAUUAGCUAGUUGGUAAGGUAACGGCUUACCAAGGCAACGAUGCAUAGCCGACCUGAGAGGGUGAUCGGCCACACUGGAACUGAGACACGGUCCAGACUCCUACGGGAGGCAGCAGUAGGGAAUCUUCCGCAAUGGGCGAAAGCCUGACGGAGCAACGCCGCGUGAGUGAUGAAGGUCUUCGGAUCGUAAAACUCUGUUAUUAGGGAAGAACAUAUGUGUAAGUAACUGUGCACAUCUUGACGGUACCUAAUCAGAAAGCCACGGCGAACUACGU
rnacentral:rRNA from 1 species